GGUUGUGGCUUAGUGGUAGAGUGCUCGGUUCUGGGAGGUGCUAGGUUCGAUCCUUAGCACCA
rnacentral:tRNA from 1 species